UGGGGAAUAUUGGACAAUGGGCGAAAGCCUGAUCCAGCCAUGCCGCGUGUGUGAAGAAGGUCUUCGGAUUGUAAAGCACUUUAAGUUGGGAGGAAGGGUUGUAGAUUAAUACUCUGCAAUUUUGACGUUACCGACAGAAUAAGCACCGGCUAACUCUGUGCCAGCAGCCGCGGUAAUACAGAGGGUGCAAGCGUUAAUCGGCAUUACUGGGCGUAAAGCGCGCGUAGGUGGUUUGUUAAGUUGGAUGUGAAAGCCCCGGGCUCAACCUGGGAACUGCAUCCAAAACUGGCAAGCUAGAGUACGGUAGAGGGUGGUGGAAUUUCCUGUGUAGCGGUGAAAUGCGUAGAUGUAGGAAGGAACACCAGUGGCGAAGGCGACCACCUGGACUGAUACUGACACUGAGGUGCGAAAGCGUGGGGAGCAAACA
rnacentral:rRNA from 1 species